rnacentral:rRNA from 1 species
GAUCCUGGCUCAGGAUGAACGCUGGCGGCGUGCCUAACACAUGCAAGUCGAACGAAGCGCUGGAACGGAUUUCUUCGGAAGGAAGAUCCAGUGACUGAGUGGCGGACGGGUGAGUAACGCGUGGGCAACCUGCCUCAUACAGGGGGAGUAACAGUUAGAAAUGGCUGCUAAUACCGCAUAAGCGCACAGCUUCGCAUGGAGCAGUGUGAAAAACUCCGGUGGU